UGGGUUGUGGCUCAGAAGUAGAGAGCUCGCCUAGCAUGCGUGAGGCACUGGGUUCGAUCCUCAGCACCACAU
rfam:Ictidomys tridecemlineatus contig032559, whole genome shotgun sequence.